rnacentral:rRNA from 1 species
GAUGAACGCUAGCGGCAGGCUUAAUACAUGCAAGUCGAGGGGCAGCAAGGGUAGCAAUACCUGUUGGCGACCGGCAAACGGGUGCGGAACACGUACAGAACCUUCCUUUAAGCGGGGGAGUAGCCCACUAGAAAUAGUGGAUUAAUACCCACUAGUAAUGUUGUCUGGCAUCAGAUGGUAUUUAAAGUAAUUUAUUCACUUAAAGUAAUGGCUGUGCGGCUGAUUAGGUAGUUGGNGAGGGUAAC